rnacentral:rRNA from 1 species
AACGCUAGCUACAGGCUUAACACAUGCAAGUCGCGGGGCAUCAUGAAUUUAGCUUGCUAAGUUUGAUGGCGACCGGCGCACGGGUGAGUAACGCGUAUCCAACCUUCCUCUCUCCACGGGAUAGCCCGUCGAAAGGCGGAUUAAUACCGUAUGCUGUCACCAGAUGGCAUCAGAAAGUGACGAAAGGUUUAGCGGAGAGAGAUGGGGAUGCGUCCGAUUAGCUUGUUGGCGGGGUAACGGCCCACCAAGGCGACGAUCGGUAGGGGUUCUGAGAGGAAGGUCCCCCACAUUGGAACUGAGACACGGUCCAAACUCCUACGGGAGGCAGCAGUGAGGAAUAUUGGUCAAUGGACGGAAGUCUGAACCAGCCAAGUAGCGUGCAGGAUGACGGCCCUAUGGGUUGUAAACUGCUUUUAUGCGGGGAUAAAGUGGGCUACGUGUAGCCUAUUGCAGGUACCGCAUGAAUAAGGACCGGCUAAUUCCGUGCCAGCAGCCGCGGUAAUACGGAAGGUCCGGGCGUUAUCCGGAUUUAUUGGGUUUAAAGGGAGCGUAGGCCGGCUUUUAAGCGUGUUGUGAAAUGCCGCGGCUCAACCGUGGCACUGCAGCGCGAACUGGAGGCCUUGAGUGCGCGGGAGGUAGGCGGAAUUCGUGGUGUAGCGGUGAAAUGCUUAGAUAUCACGAAGAACUCCGAUUG